UACGUAGGGUGCGAGCGUUAAUCGGAAUUACUGGGCGUAAGGCGUGCGCAGGCGGUUUUGUAAGCCAGAUGUGAAAUCCCCGGGCUUAACCUGGGAAUGGCAUUUGGGACUGCAAGGCUCGAGUGCGGCAGAGGAGACUGGAAUUCCUGGUGUAGCAGUGAAAUGCGUAGAUAUCAGGAGGAACACCGAUGGCGAAGGCAGGUCUCUGGGCUGACACUGACGCUCAUGCACGAAAGCGUGGGGAGCAAACAGG
rnacentral:rRNA from 1 species